rnacentral:pre_miRNA from 1 species
GCUAGGAAGAAGAAGAAAGAGAGGGCUUAAGAGCAGUGGGAGUGAUAACAUAGAGGAAAGCCUAAAUUACUGGUUCUUCACCUCUAGUCUUGAGGUGGAUCAGACGUUUAGUUUGGUAUUUCCAUAUGCGUCUCAUUUCGAUCAUUCUUAGUCACUCCUUCAUCUUCCUUUUUGUU